AGUGAACGCUGGCGGCGUGCCUAAUACAUGCAAGUCGAACGGAGAUUAAGUAGCUUGCUAUUUAAUCUUAGUGGCGCACGGGUGAGUAAUAUAUAGCUAACUUGCCCAUUACUAAGGGACAACAGUUGGAAACGACUGCUAAUACCUUAUACUCCGUAUCUAUAUAAGUAGAUACGGGAAAGUUUUUCGGUAAUGGAUAGGGCUAUAUCGUAUCAGCUAGUUGGUAAGGUAAUGGCUUACCAAGGCUAUGACGCGUAACUGGUCUGAGAGGAUGAUCAGUCACACUGGAACUGAGACACGGUCCAGACUCCUACGGGAGGCAGCAGGAGGGAAUAUUGCUCAAUGGGGGAAACCCUGAAGCAGCAACGCCGCGUGGAGGAUGACACUUUUCGGAGCGUAAACUCCUUUUCUUGGGAAAGAAUUAUGACGGUACCCAAGGAAUAAGCACCGGCUAACUCCGUG
rnacentral:rRNA from 1 species